UGGGGAAUAUUGGACAAUGGGGGAAACCCUGAUCCAGCCAUGCCGCGUGAAUGAUGAAGGCCUUAGGGUUGUAAAGUUCUUUUACCGAUGAAGAUAAUGACGGUAGUCGGAGAAAAAGCCCCGGCUAACUUCGUGCCAGCAGCCGCGGUAAUACGAAGGGGGCUAGCGUUGUUCGGAUUUACUGGGCGUAAAGCGUACGUAGGUGGUCUUGCAAGUCAGUGGUGAAAUCCCAGAGCUCAACUCUGGAACUGCCAUUGAAACUGCAAGGCUAGAAUCUCAGAGGGGGUGGCGGAAUUGCUAAUGUAGGGGUGAAAUCCGUAGAUAUUAGCAGGAACACCGAUGGCGAAGGCAGCCACCUGGAUGAGUAUUGACACUGAGGUACGAAAGCGUGGGGAUCAAA
rnacentral:rRNA from 1 species